rnacentral:rRNA from 1 species
GACGAACGCUGGCGGCGUGCCUAAUACAUGCAAGUUGAGCGCUGAAGGUUGGUACUUGUACCAACUGGAUGAGCAGCGAACGGGUGAGUGACGCGUGGGGAAUCUGCCUUUGAGCGGGGGACAACAUUUGGAAACGAAUGCUAAUACCGCAUAAAAACUUUAAACACAAGUUUUAAGUUUGAAAGAUGCAAUUGCAUCACUCAAAGAUGAUCCCGCGUUGUAUUAGCUAGUUGGUGAGGUAAAGGCUCACCAAGGCGAUGAUACAUAGCCGACCUGAGAGGGUGAUCGGCCACAAUGGGACUGAGACACGGCCCAAAAUCCUACGGGAGGCAGCAGUAGGGAAUCUUCGGCAAUGGACGAAAGUCUGAACGAGCAACGCCGCGGGAGGGAAGAAGGUUGUCGGAUCGUAAAACUCUGUUGGUAGGGAAGAAAGUUGGUGAGAGUGGAAAGCUCAUCAAGUGACGGUAACUACCCAGAAAGGGACGGCUAACUACGUG